rnacentral:rRNA from 1 species
UACGAAGGGAGCUAGCGUUGUUCGGAAUCACUGGGCGUAAAGCGCACGUAGGCGGAUGUGUCAGUCAGGGGUGAAAUCCCGGAGCUCAACUUCGGAACUGCCUUUGAUACAGCACAUCUGGAGUCCGGAAGAGGUGGGUGGAAUUCCUAGUGUAGAGGUGAAAUUCGUAGAUAUUCGGAGGAACACCAGUGGCGAAGGCGGCUCACUGGUCCGGUACUGACGCUGAGGUGCGAAAGCGUGGGGAGCAAACAGG